GCGGCAGGCCUGAGGCAUGCAAGUCGAACGAGAAAGUGUAGCAAUACAUGAGUAGAGUGGCGCACGGGUGAGUAACACGUGGGAACAUACCUUAAAGUGGGGGAUAACAGUUGGAAACGACUGCUAAUACCGCAUAAACCCUUCGGGGGAAAGAUUUAUCGCUUUAAGAUUGGCCCGCGUUGGAUUAGCUUAUUGGUGAGGUAAUGGCUCACCAAGGCAGUGAUCCAUAGCUGGUCUGAGAGGAUGACCAGCCACACUGGGACUGAGACACGGCCCAGACUCCUACGGGAGGCAGCAGCUAGGAAUAUUGGACAAUGGGCGAAAGCCUGAUCCAGCCAUGCCGCGUGAGUGAAGAAGGCCUUCGGGUCGUAAAGCUCUUUUAGUUAUGAAGAUGAUGACUGUAGUAACAGAAAAAGCACCGGCUAACUUCGUGCCAGCAGCCGCAGUAA
rnacentral:rRNA from 1 species